GCGCAUAUAGCUCAGUGGUAGAGUACAUGCUUAGCAUGCAUGAGGUCCUGGGUUCAAUCCCCAGUACCUCCA
rnacentral:tRNA from 1 species